ACUCAUAUAUUGCAAGGGAAAUACCAUGGUCAUAAAAGUGGUUUUCCCAGGGGGAGGCCUAUCCAUUACAUUUUGGGUGUGCUACUGAUUUCUGUGAUUUCCCCAAAUGUGGGAAACUCAACUGCACAACUGGUGUUAAUGGGAGAUUACAUUUGUGAUUUACAU
rnacentral:snRNA from 1 species